UCAGUCGAGGAAGUUUUGGAAGUCUCCGACGUGUAACCCUGGUCAGUCGGAGGGGUCUCUCCUAGGUAUGGAACCUUCUUCCAACUUACGAUUAUUGGCUUCUGUGCUGGACCUCGAAGGUCCUUGAACUUCAGUUCGUGAUGGUACCAGUUCGUCUUUACUUUCGCUCUGUAUAACCAUGGUCUUCCGAUCAAAACCUUGUAUCCCUUUUUCACUAUUGGGCGAAUGAU
rnacentral:lncRNA from 1 species